GCUGCAAGUAUUGGCAGUAUGUAGUGGCUAUAUAUUAUUGCAUGCAUUUGCAGAAAUAUGAAUUACACCGACAGCAUCUGCCUUAUUUAUAGAACGAGCCCAAUAAAUCAUGCGUGCUGCACGUCGAUACGCCGAUGUGGACGUGAUAUUAUCAUCAUCUCUAGACUUUGCAGCUCCUCUGUGGCUCGAGCUGACUUAUCGUGACGUCAGCCACUGUAUCUGACUGUAUGCAGCCCUUCAUGGAGCGCGUGGCUGCGAGCACAUGGAAAGGAGGUCGAGAUUUGUGCUUGAAAGACACGCACCUAUUCAUCCGAAAUGGAAUAUAAAUAAUAAUGCGCAAAGUAGCGUCAGAGAACGGGAAGACUGUUGAAGACCCUUCCCGCUCUGCUCUACUUUACUCAGCUGUCAAUCAAACAGGAUCAGCAGAUUUAUAAUGAAAAUCAAGGCAUCUGGAUGGAAGUUAUGAAAAGUCCUCCCGGUUCUGACCCCUGCCUGACUCAGGGACUACUUUCCUGCCUGCCUGAUCAUCCUGCCUGCCCUGACCUUGAUUCUGCCUGCCCUUCGGUACCUAUUGGACUCUGCUCUGGUUUUGACUUUUUUGCCUGUCCACGACUAUUCUCCUUUGGAUGAAUAAACAUUGUAAAACUCCAA